UGAAGCGGCAACAGCUCAAUUUGAAAUCUGGCUCCUUCGGGGUCCGAGUUGUAAUUUGUAGAGGAUGUUUCGGGUGCGGCGCCGGUCUAAGUCCCUUGGAACAGGGCGUCACAGAGGGUGAGAAUCCCGUACGUGACCGGCGACCAACCCCAUGUGAAACCCCUUCGACGAGUCGAGUUGUUUGGGAAUGCAGCUCAAAAUGGGUGGUAAAUUUCAUCUAAAGCUAAAUACCGGCCAGAGACCGAUAGCGCACAAGUAGAGUGAUCGAAAGAUGAAAAGCACUUUGGAAAGAGAGUCAAAAAGUACGUGAAAUUGUUGAAAGGGAAGCGCUUGCAACCAGACCUGUCCGCCGGCGAUCAGCCUCCGUUCUCGGUGGUGCACUCGUCGGCGAUCAGGCCAGCAUCGGUUCGGGCGGUGGGAUAAAGGCCUUGGGAAUGUGGCUUCCUUCGGGAAGUGUUAUAGCCCUCGGUGCAAUGCCGCCAGCCCGGACCGAGGACCGCGCUUCGGCUAGGAUGCUGGCGUAAUGGUUGUAAGCGACCCGUCUUGAAACACGGACCAAGGAGUCUAACAUCUAUGCGAGUGUUUGGGUGUCAAACCCAUACGCGUAAUGAAAGUGAACGGAGGUGAGAACCCUUAAGGGCGCAUCAUCGACCGAUCCAGAUGUCUUCGGAUGGAUUUGAGUACGAGCAUAGCUGUUGGGACCCGAAAGAUGGUGAACUAUGCCUGAAUAGGGUGAAGCCAGAGGAAACUCUGGUGGAGCUCGCAGCGGUUCUGACGUGCAAAUCGAUCGUCAAAUUUGGGUAUAGGGGCGAAAGACUAAUCGAACC
rnacentral:rRNA from 1 species